rnacentral:rRNA from 1 species
AAUGGGGGCAACCCUGAUCCAGCCAUGCCGCGUGUGUGAAGAAGGCCUUCGGGUUGUAAAGCACUUUCAGUAGGGAGGAAGGCUUAUCCUUAAUACGGAUGAGUACUUGACGUUACCUACAGAAGAAGCACCGGCUAAUUUCGUGCCAGCGGCCGCGGUAAUACGAAAGGUGCGAGCGUUAAUCGGAAUUACUGGGCGUAAAGCGCGCGUAGGCGGUUUGCUAAGUCAGAUGUGAAAGCCCCGGGCUCAACCUGGGAACUGCAUUUGAAACUGGCAGGCUAGAAUGCAGUAGAGGGAGGUGGAAUUUCCGGUGUAGCGGUGAAAUGCGUAGAGAUCGGAAGGAACACCAGUGGCGAAGGCGGCCUCCUGGACUGACAUUGACGCUGAGGUGCGAAAGCGUGGGGAGCAAACAGGAUU